ensembl:snRNA U6 U6 spliceosomal RNA
GUGCUUGCUUUGGUAGCGCAUAUGCUAAAACUGGAAAGAAACAGAGAAAUUAGCAUGGCCCCUGUGCAAGGAUGACACACAAAUCUGUGAAGUGCUCCAUAUUUUA